UUUAAGCGAGGAGGCACGCUACUUGGAUUAAGUACUCUAGGAUACUGGACGUUACUCGCAGAAUAAGCACCGGCUAACUCUGUGCCAGCAGCCGCGGUAAUACAGAGGGUGCGAGCGUUAAUCGGAUUUACUGGGCGUAAAGCGUGCGUAGGCGGCUUUUUAAGUCGGAUGUGAAAUCCCUGAGCUUAACUUAGGAAUUGCAUUCGAUACUGGGAAGCUAGAGUAUGGGAGAGGAUGGUAGAAU
rnacentral:rRNA from 1 species